GGUUAAGCGACUAAGCGUACACGGUGGAUGCCCUGGCAGUCAGAGGCGAUGAAGGGCGUGCUAAUCUGCGAUAAGCGCCGGUAAGGUGAUAUGAACCGUUAUAACCGGCGAUACCCGAAUGGGGAAACCCAGUGUGAUUCGUCACACUAUCAUUAACUGAAUCCAUAGGUUAAUGAGGCGAACCGGGGGAACUGAAACAUCUAAGUACCCCGAGGAAAAGAAAUCAACCGAGAUUCCCCCAGUAGCGGCGAGCGAACGGGGAGGAGCCCAGAGCCUGAAUCAGCAUGUGUGUUAGUGGAAGCGUCUGGAAAGGCGCGCGAUACAGGGUGACAGCCCCGUACACAAAAGCGCAUGUGCUGUGAGCUCGAUGAGUAGGGCGGGACACGUGGUAUCCUGUCUGAAUAUGGGGGGACCAUCCUCCAAGGCUAAAUACUCCUGACUGACCGAUAGUGAACCAGUACCGUGAGGGAAAGGCGAAAAGAACCCCGGCGAGGGGAGUGAAAAAGAACCUGAAACCGUGUACGUACAAGCAGUGGGAGCACCCUUUGGGGUGUGACUGCGUACCUUUUGUAUAAUGGGUCAGCGACUUAUAUUCUGUAGCAAGGUUAACCGAAUAGGGGAGCCGGAG
rnacentral:rRNA from 1 species